AUUGAACGCUGGCGGCAGGCCUAACACAUGCAAGUCGAGCGAGCGGCGGACGGGUGAGUAAUGUAUGGGGACUGCCCGAUAGAGGGGGAUAACUAAUGAAAACGGUGGCUAAUACCGCAUACUAUCGGAUAACCAAUAUGGGAUUAGCGAGUAGGAGGGGUAAAGGCUCACCUAGGCGACGAUCUCUAGCUGGUCUGAGGGGAUGAUCAGCCAAACUGGGACUGAGACACGUCCCAGACUCCUACGGAGGCAGUAGUGGGUAAUAUUGCACAAUUGGCGCAAGCCUGAUGCAGCCAUGCCGCGUGUAUGAAGAAGGCCUUAGGGUUGUAAAGUACUUUCAGCGGGGAGGCGUUACCCGCAGAAGAAGCACCGGCUAAUUCCGUGCCAGCAGCCGCGGUAAUA
rnacentral:rRNA from 1 species